rnacentral:tRNA from 17 species
CGGACUAUGGCGCAGUUUGGUAGCGCACUACACUGGGGGUGUAGGGGUCGCAGGUUCAAAUCCUGUUAGUCCGACAA